UACGAAGGGGGGCUAGCGUUGUUCGGAAUUACUGGGCGUAAAGCGCACGUAGGCGGGUCGUUAAGUCAGGGGUGAAAUCCCAGAGCUCAACUCUGGAACUGCCUUUGAUACUGGCGACCUAGAGUCCGGAAGAGGUUAGUGGAAUUCCCAGUGUAGAGGUGAAAUUCGUAGAUAUUGGGAAGAACACCAGUGGCGAAGGCGGCUAACUGGUCCGGUACUGACGCUGAGGCGCGAAAGCGUGGGGAGCAAACAGG
rnacentral:rRNA from 1 species